rnacentral:rRNA from 1 species
GACGAACGCUGGCGGCGUGCUUAACACAUGCAAGUCGAACGGAAAGGCCCUGCUUUUGUGGGGUGCUCGAGUGGCGAACGGGUGAGUAACACGUGAGUAACCUGCCCUUGACUUUGGGAUAACUUCAGGAAACUGGGGCUAAUACCGGAUAGGAGCUCCUGCUGCAUGGUGGGGGUUGGAAAGUUUCGGCGGUUGGGGAUAGACUCGCGGCUUAUCAGCUUGUUGGUGGGGUAGUGGCUUACCCAGGCUUUGACGGGUAGCCGGCCGUAGAGGGUGACCGGCCACCUUGGGACUGAGAUACGGCCCAGACGCCUACGGGAGGCAGCAGUGGGGAAUAUUGCACAAUGGGGGGAAGCCUGAUGCAGCAACGCCGCGUGCGGGAUGACGGCCUUCGGGUUGUAAACCGCUUUCGCCUGUGACGAAGCGUGAGUGACGGUAAUGGGUAAAGAAGCACCGGCUAACUACGUG